UGGUCUAGCUAGUCCAAUUGAGCAAAACGAAUUUUAGUUCUACCCCCCGAAACUAGGUGAGCUACUUCGAAAUAGCCGCAAGAGCAAACCCGUCUCUGUUGCAAAAGAGUGGGAAAAUUUCCAAGUAGAGGCGACAAACCUACCGCACCAAGAGAUAGCUGGUUACUCAAGAAAAGAAUAUUAGUUCUACCUUAAGUUUUAUUAGUUAUCAUAAACUUAGAUUAAACUUAAGAGCUAUUCAAAUAAGGCACAGCUUAUUUGAAAAAGGAUACAACCUAUAAUAUCGGGUAAUUAAACAAGAAAAAAUGCUAAGUGGGCCUAAAAGCAGCCAUCUUUCAAAAAGCGUUAAAGCUUUACAUUUAUUCUUUAGAAAUAAUACAAUUAUUAUUUAACCCUCCAUUAAUAUUGAGUAAUUCCAUAAUAUAUGGAAGAUAUAAUGCUAGAACUAGUAACAAGAAGUUGUACUUCUCCAAAAUGUAAGCCUAAGCCAUCUUAGACACCCUACUGGCAAUUAACGUCUAUGAACCUACUUUAUUAACACUACAAGAAAACUUUAAAUACCUUAACGUUAAACUUACACUAGAACAUUUAUGGAAAGAUUAAAAGAAAAAGAAGGAACUCGGCAAAUAUAAACCCCGCCUGUUUACCAAAAACAUCGCCUCUUGUCCAAAUAUAAGAGGUCUAGCCUGCCCAGUGAUAAAAUUUAACGGCCGCGGUACCCUAACCGUGCGAAGGUAGCAUAAUCACUUGUUCUUUAAAUGAGGACUUGUAUCAACGGCAUCACGAGGGUUUAACUGUCUCCUUUUUCAUAUCAGUAAAACUAAUCUCCCCGUGAAGAAGCGGGGAUAAAUUUAUAAGACGAGAAGACCCCAUGGAGCUUUAAACCCAGAAACACUCCUACAAAUCUUACUUUUUAAUACAUGGACCCUGUAAGCUGGUUUUAGGUUGGGGUGACCGCGGAGCAUAAAUUAGCCUCCACAAUGAAUAGACUUCUUCUUUAUCCUUGAUUUACUCCUCUAAGAAUUAGUAUUCUAACAUAAAAUGAUCCGAUUACUCGAUCAACGAACCAAGUUACCCUGGGGAUAACAGCGCAAUCUACUUCAAGAGCUCCUAUCGACAAGUGGGUUUACGACCUCGAUGUUGGAUCAGGGUACCCCAGUGGUGCAGCA
rnacentral:rRNA from 1 species